rnacentral:rRNA from 1 species
UACGGAGGGGGCGAGCGUUAUUCGGAAUUAUUGGGCGUAAAGGGCGCGUAGGCGGCUCUACAAGUCAAAGGUGAAAUCCCUCGGCUCAACUGAGGAACUGCCUUUGAAACUGUAAGGCUUGAGGCCGGGAGGGGGUAGCGGAAUUCCCAGUGUAGCGGUGAAAUGCGUAGAUAUCGGGAGGAACACCAGUGGCGAAGGCGGUUGCCUGGAGCUUUGCUGACGCUGAGGCGCGAAAGCGUGGGGAGCGAUCCGG